GACGAACGCUGGCGGCGUGCUUAACACAUGCAAGUCGAACGGAAAGGCCCUGCUUUUGUGGGGUGCUCGAGUUGCGAACGGGUGAGUAACACGUGAGUAACCUGCCCUUGACUUUGGGAUAACUUCAGGAAACUGGGGCUAAUACCGGAUAGGAGCUCCUGCUGCAUGGUGGGGGUUGGAAAGUUUCGGCGGUUGGGGAUGGACUCGCGGCUUAUCAGCUUGUUGGUGGGGUAGUGGCUUACCAAGGCUUUGACGGGUAGCCGGCCUGAGAGGGUGACCGGCCACAUUGGGACUGAGAUAAGGCCCAGACUCCUACGGGAGGCAGCAGUGGGGAAUAUUGCACAAUGGGCGGAAGCCUGAUGCAGCAACGCAGCGUGCGGGAUGACGGCCUUCGGGUUGUAAACCGCUUUCGCCUGUGACGAAGCGUGAGUGACGGUAAUGGGUAAAGAAGCACCGGCUAACUACGUG
rnacentral:rRNA from 1 species